GACGAACGCUGGCGGCGUGCUUAACACAUGCAAGUCGAGCGGUAAGGCCCUUUCGGGGGUAUACGAGCGGCGAACGGGUGAGCAACACGUGAGCAACCCGCCCUUCUCUUUGGAAUAAGCGUCGGAAACGACGUCUAAUGCCUAAUAUGACCCCCCGACGCAUGGUGGGGGGUGGAAAGCCCUGGCGGAGGAGGAUGGGCUCGCGGCCUAUCAGCUUGUUGGUGUGGGUAAUGGCCCACCAAGGCGACGACGGGUAGCCGGCCUGAAAGGGUGACCGGCCACACUGGGACAGAGACACGGCCCAGACUCCUACGGGAGGCAGCAGUGGGGAAUAUUGGACAAUGGGCGAAAGCCUGAUCCAGCAACGCCGCGUGAGGGAUGACGGCCUUCGGGUUGUAAACCUCUUUCAGCAGGGACGAAGCGAGAGUGACGGUACCUGCAGAAGAAGGACCGGCCAACUACGUGCCAGCCGCCGCGGUAAGAC
rnacentral:rRNA from 1 species